rnacentral:lncRNA from 1 species
AUGAGCUUUCCCAAAUUUAUUGACCACUUCUUUCAAGUCAUUUGUCUGCACCUCUCGGGUCAUGAUUUCCAUCAUCUUCCGGAUUUGGCGGACCUGUUGGUGCUGAGCAUAAGAGGUCUUCCGUAUCUGAUUGUUGUGUUUUUUAGUAAAACCAACACAGAACAGACGAAGCAAGUAACCAUCGGUAGUCUUGACAUCAACAUGAGCUUCAAUCAUUGUCUGCCACUUUUUGACCAUGGAACACAUUUUGUCACGGGUAAGAUCCAUGCCAUGGAAGUUAGUCAGGCAGUUUUUGCCCUGAACAUCUUCAGUAAUCAGCUUGAAUUUUCUAAAUGCAACUUCAUCAUUCUGCAAAUCAGCAAGACUCACUUCAAACACACGACCCUUGAGACCAUCAGAUGCAAUUUUGGUUCCUUGGGUUCUGGUGAUGAGCGUCUUUCCAAUAUUUCUUAUAUUGAACAUAGCAGGUGCUUUCACAUCAUACCAAUCUUUCUUAGAAAAUGGAUCAACCACUUUCUACUUGGCUCCCUUUUUGCUACCUUUCGUAAGGCGCUUGUUCUUGCCAACCGCCAUGGUGCUGAUCAGAGAGCCAAAAGGCUCUCUCUGCACUUUAAAUCUUGAUGUCCUCUUAGUAUCCAUUUCUGUUUUCUUAUCUGUUCACACUACAUGCUGCAUUUUGAGUGUAUUUCAUUAACUCUUAUGCUGCCAUAAAUUCUUAUUAAAUCAUAAAAUGCCCAGGCAUCAGGUCAUGUUAGGAAUAAAUAUGGUGGGACAAGAGAAUAUAGAUCCAGAAUCGCUCCAUGCAAGAACUCAUUUAAAAAAAAUCUUCCUCCCCUGGUCUCCAGGAAGAGUCAGGAGGUAAUAUUCAAAAGGCAGCUGAUGCAAGGAAUUAGGGCAAAAUUUGAUCUAGGAAUUGUGGAAACAGCAACAGGAAUAGUAGCACCUAAAAGAAGUUGGAUGUGAAUUGAAUGAUGCCAGAAUCCAGGUUGAGGACUAAAAGGUGACACUAUAGGAAUUAUUUAAAACGAAAUCCGUUACCUAAAAUCACCCAGCUAAGAUAUUAUACUAACCUUCAGGAGUCAAAAACUAGAAACAAAAUCUAAAUGUAAAAGAAAGAGAUUGGUAGGAACAGUUUGAAUUCCCAGAUAAUAAUGAUAUUUUUUAAAAGUUAGUAUAACUUCCAAAGAUUUAAUAUUAGUUUGUUCUUUCAAUGGGAACACAUGUUCAUUCGUAUUUGAAAGAAAGAUUGGGAGAUUUCUUCAAUAACUUAUAUUCCUGUACUGUUGAUUUAUGAAAGGAAAACUUGGCUGUGCUCUUAAGCUUCUUUAGUGAUUUUUUAAUAUAUUCAGGAUCAUAUGUGUAAAAAAUAAAAUAUCUCUUGUGAACACAAAUGAAAAAUCCCUAACAAAAUACAGUAGUCCCCCUUAUCUGUGGUUUCACUUUCUGUAUCUUUGAUUACUUACAGUUAACAGUGGUGUGAAAAUAUUAAAUGGAAAACUUCAGAGAUAAACAAUUCAUCCAUCUUAAUGUUGUUUUGAGCAGUGUGAUGAAAUCCUGUAAUGUCCCGUUUCACUCUGCCUAGGAUGUGAAUUAUCCCUUUCUUCAGUGUAUCCACCCUGUAUAUGCUACUUGCCUGUUAGUCACUUAGUAGCCAUCUCUGUCAUCAGAUCAACUGUCACAGAAUUGUCUUACUUGCAUUCAAGCAACUCUCAUUUUACUUAAUAAUGAUCCCAAAGCACAAAAGUAAUGAUGCUGGCAUAUUGUUAUUAUUGUUCUGUUUUAGUAUUCAUUAUCAUUAUUAAUCUUAAGUAUACUUAAAAUAUAAAUUAAAAUUUAUCAUAGGUACAUACAUAGGAAAACACACAGUAUACACAGGAUUUGGUACUAUCAGCAAUUUCAAGCAUCCACUGGGAGUCAUGAAACAUAUUCCCCUGAGGAUAUGAGGGGACUCCUGUAUUAGGAAAUGAAAUCUAACAAUAUAUUAAAAAUAUUCUAUUAAAUAACUAAAUUAGAUUUAUCCCAGAUAUGCAAGCCUGGUUCAACAUUCAAAAAUCAGUGUAAUUGAUAUGGUUUGGCUCUGUGUCCACACCCACAUCUCAUCUCAAAUUUUAAUCCCCAUGUGUCAAGGGAGGGACCUGUAAUCCCCACAUGUCUAGGGAAGGAGAUGAUUGGAUCAUGGGGGCAGUUCCCCCAUGCUGUUCUCAUGAUAGAGAGUUCUCACGAGAUCUGAUUGUUCUAUUAGUGGCAGUUUCCCCUGCUCUUCACUCUCCUGACACCUUGUGAAGAAGGUGCCUGCUUCCCUUCCACCACGAUUGGAGUAAGUUCCCUGAGGACUCCCCAGACAUGUGGAACUGGGAGUCAUUUAAACCUCAUUCCUUUACAUGGAAGUUCUUUGUAGCAGUGCGAAAACAAACUGAUACAGUAAAUUGGUACUACAGAGAGUAUAGCACUGCUGUGAAGAUACCUGAAAAUGUGAAAGCGACUUUGGAACUGGGUAAUAGGCAGACAUUGGAACAGUUUGGAGGGCUCAGAAGAAGAUAGGAACAUGUGGGAAAGUUUUGAACUUCCUGAAGACUUGUUGAAUGGUGUUAAUCAAAAUGCUGAGAGUGAUAUGGGCAAUGAAGUACAGGCUGAGAUAUUCUCAGAUGGAGAUGAGGAACUCAUUGGGAACUAGAUCAAAUGUCACUCUUGUUAUGCUUGACAAAGAGACUCGCAGCAUUUUGCCCCUGCUCUAGAGACUUGUGGAACUCUGAACUGAAGAGAGAUGAUCAGAAAUUAUAACUUAUGUUUAAAAGGGAAGUAGAGCAUAGAAGUUUGGAAAAUUUGCAAUUUGACAAUGUAACAGAAAAGAAAAACUCAUUUUCUGGGGAGCUAUUCAAGCCUGCUGCAAAAAUUUUUGUAGGUGACCAGGAGCUGAAUGUUAAUCACCAAGACAAUGGGGAAAAUGUCUCCAGGGCAUGUCAGGGACCUUCACUGCAACACUUCCCAUCACGGGCCCAGAGGCCUAGGAGAAUAAUAUGUUUUUUUCAGUGGCUCCUAGAGCCCCGUUGCUGCUCUGUGAAGCCCCAGGACUAGGCAUCCUGUGUCCCAGCUGUGGCUAAAAAGGGCCAAUGUACAGCUCAGGCCAUUGCUACAGAGGGUAGAAGCCCCAAGCCUUGGCAUAUCUUCUAUGUGGUGUUGGGUCUGAGCCCUCCAAACUGUUACAAUGUCUGACUGUUACCCAGUUCCAAAGUCACUUUCACAUUUUCAGGUAUCUUUAUAGCAGUGCUGUAUUCUCUGUGGUACAAAUUUACUGUAUCAGUUUGUUUUCAUACUGCUAUAAAGAACUUCCCUGAGACAGGGUAAUUUGUAAAGGAAUGAGGUUUAAUUGACUCCCAGUUCCACAUGACUGAGGAGGCCUCAGGGAACUUACAAUCGUUGUGGAAGUCAAGAAUUGAGGUUAGGGAAUCUCCACAUAGAUUUCAGUAGGUGUAUGGAAAAGCCUGGAUGUCCAGGCAGAAGUCUGCUGCAGGGGCAGAGCCCUCAUGAAGAACCUCUGCUGGGGCAGUGAGGAGGGGAAAUGUGGGGUUGGAACCUCCAGAGAGUCCCCAUGGGGCACUGUUUAGUGGAGCUGUGAGAAGAGGGCCACCAUCCUCUAGACCCCAAAAUAGUAGAUCUACUGACAGCUUGCACUAUGCACCUAAAAAAGCUGCACUCAGUGCCAGGCCAUGAGGGAACUGCCCAAGGUUGUGGGAGUCCACCCCUUGCAUCAGCAUGCCCCGAAUGUGAAACAUGGAGUCAAAGGAGAUCAUUUUGGAGCAUUAAGAUUUAAUGACUGGCCCACUGAAUUUUGAACUUUCAUGGGGUCUGUAGCUGGGUUUUUUUUGGCCAAUUUCUCCCAUUUGAAAAGGGAGCAUUUAGCCAAUUCCUGUACCCCCAUUGUAUCUAGGAAGUAACUAACUUACUUUUGAUUACUUUGUCUCAAAUGUGUAUUUGGGCUAUGGACUUUUGAGUUAAUGCCAAAAUGAGUUAAAACUUUGGGUGACUGUUGGAAAGGCAUUAUUUGUUUUGAAAUGUGAGAAGACAUGAGAUUUGGGAGUGGCCAGGGCUGAAUGAUAUGAUUUGGCUCUGUGUCCUCACUCAAAUCUCAUCUUAAUUUUUAAUUCCCACGUGGUGAGGGAGGGAGGUGAUAGGAUUAUGGGGGCGGUUUCCCCCAUGCUGUUUUUGUGAUAGUGAGUGAGUUCUCACAAGAUCCAGUGAUUUUAUAAGUGGUGGUUUCCCCUGCUCUUUGCUCUCCUGCCACCUUGCGAAAAGGUGCGUGAUUCCCCUUCUGCCAUAAUUAUGUUUCCCGAGGCCUCCCCAGCCAUGCAGAACUGUGAGUCAAUUAAACCUCUUUACUUUAUAAAUUACUCACCCUCAGGGAAGUUCUUUAUACCAUUGUGAGAGUGGACUAAUACAGUAAUCCAUCAAAUUAACACAAAAAAACUUAUUUGUUUGUGUGUGUGUGCAUGUGUGUUAUGAAUGCAAUGAUGGAUUACAUAAAUUGAUUUUUCUUGCUACUAUUGAUUUCUAAUUUCGUUCCACUGUGGUAAACAAACACAUGGGGUAUGAUUUUUAUCUUCUUUAAAUUAGUUAAGAUACAUUUUGUACCCAAGCAUGGUGGUUCAUGCCUGUAAUCCCAACACUUUGGGAGGUUGAGGUAGGCAGAUCACUUGAGCUCAGAAGUUUGAUACAAGCCUGGGCAACAUGGAGAAAAACUGUCUCUACAAAACUUACAAAAAUCAGCUAGGCAUGAUGGUACACACAUGUACUCCCA